rnacentral:rRNA from 1 species
UACAGAGGGUGCGAGCGUUAAUCGGAAUUACUGGGCGUAAAGCGUGCGCAGGCGGUUGUGCAAGACAGAUGUGAAAUCCCCGGGCUCAACCUGGGAACUGCAUUUGUGACUGCACGGCUGGAGUGCGGCAGAGGGGGAUGGAAUUCCGCGUGUAGCAGUGAAAUGCGUAGAUAUGCGGAGGAACACCGAUGGCGAAGGCAAUCCCCUGGGCCUGCACUGACGCUCAUGCACGAAAGCGUGGGGAGCAAACAGG